AUGUUUUUCAUCAUCCUAUCCUUUCCUAAGUACUAGAGCCGCAGGAAUCUGAAACCGAGAACUCCUGCAGCCUUGGUACUUAACAAGGGGACGGAUUUUCUACAU
rnacentral:pre_miRNA from 1 species